AGACCCGAAACCCGGUGAUCUAGCCAUGGGCAGGUUGAAGGUUGGGUAACACUAACUGGAGGACCGAACCGACUAAUGUUGAAAAAUUAGCGGAUGACCUGUGGCUGGGGGUGAAAGGCCAAUCAAACCGGGAGAUAGCUGGUUCUCCCCGAAAGCUAUUUAGGUAGCGCCUCGUGAAUUCAUCUCCGGGGGUAGAGCACUGUUUCGGCUAGGGGGCCAUCCCGGCUUACCAACCCGAUGCAAACUGCGAAUACCGGAGAAUGUUAUCACGGGAGACACACGGCGGGUGCUAACGUCCGUCGUGAAGAGGGAAACAACCCAGACCGCCAGCUAAGGUCCCAAAGUCAUGGUUAAGUGGGAAACGAUGUGGGAAGGCCCAGACAGCCAGGAUGUUGGCUUAGAAGCAGCCAUCAUUUAAAGAAAGCGUAAUAGCUCACUGGUCGAGUCGGCCUGCGCGGAAGAUGUAACGGGGCUAAACCAUGCACCGAAGCUGCGGCAGCGACACUAUGUGUUGUUGGGUAGGGGAGCGUUCUGUAAGCCUGCGAAGGUGACCUGUGAGGGU
rnacentral:rRNA from 1 species